rnacentral:lncRNA from 1 species
UCCUCCAAGCUCGCUCAGAAGCCCAGAUGUCAUCUUGGAGAGACCUGUUGCAACCAUGUCCCAGCCUGGAGUCCUCUGGUCACCCUGAGAGCCCCGUGGGAGCUGGUACACUAUUCCACCACCUCUGCACUCUGCAGCCAGCUGGCGUUCCGACUGUUAAGAGGCAACACCUUAUAAAACAUAAACACAAGGAGAAAAAAAAAUGCACUUGGGUGACGUCCAAUAGUGACGUGGAGAAAGAGCCCAUCCUGGAAAAGCUGCCUCCGCAGGCAUCUGAUACUAACCUUGAUCUGUCACACACAUCAUGGAGGGUAGCGCGGAGGGCAUGUGUCAGCUUUAAUUAAUAGCUAACCAUCCCAUAGUGGAGGCGGGUUCUCUCCUUCACUGGAAUUUUCCAUUAGACUUGCUAAUGAUAUUUUAUGUCAAGUAAGUUAUAAAUUGAGCUGAAAAGUCAAGGUUGUGAGAGCGUAAGAAAGGAAGGCCAGACGGAAGGCGGAAGGCACUCGGCUUAACACAAUAUUAGCAUCCCCUGUGUAAUCAAUGACCAAGAUGUUCCUUAAACAUCUCUGAAGCUCAGGAUUCAAGGAAAGAUGUGCUCUUCGUCCUUGCUGAGCUGUGACAUCUGAGGAGAACAAACCCAACCACCAAGAGGCCGCACCCUCAAAUUCAGUUCCAAUGAAACUUUCCACGGCCCUAAAUUUAAACAGCUGGAUUAUCAUUCACAAACUGUCUUCUCAGCCUUUUGGAAAUGAGAGACUCCUGAUGAGAGAUGUGCAUUUCAUUUUUUGAACAGGACACAGUGUUCUGGACCUCGUUUAUGCUCCAUGUAAAUAGUCUUUUUUAAGAAGUGUGUGUUUAUCAUAUGCUACUGACACAGGUCACAGUAAACUCAUUUCCAUCAUGGGAGGUUUCCAGUGUGCAGAGGAGGUUCAGAAGAAUACAAGCCUUAUAACAAAACAACUCUGCUUCCAAGUUUUAAAUUCAAGUCAUGAAAAAUGUGGUGUGAAAGCAUUGCUAAAUUCCAUUUUAAACAUCUGAAGCUCAUAGGACAAACUUGGUCAAGGGAAGAGGAAGUGUACAAAAUAAGUGAGCCAAGAGUAGUGGCCUGUCAUCCAAGCCACUCAGGAGGCUGAGGCAAAAGGGUCACAAGUUCGGGGUUAGUCUCAGCAACUUAGUGAAACCCUGUAUCAAAAUAAAAUCUAAAAAGGUCAGGGGCUGUAGAUCAGUGGUAGAAUGCUCCAGGGUUCAAUCCCCAGUAGUGCAAUAAAUAAAACCAAGUGUGUCAGAUAUCAGGACUUAAGUCAGCAGCGUUUUUGCAGAGGAAACCACGCACCUGGAUGAUUUCCUAAAUUCUGUCUCAAUCAGGGAAAGCCAUGUGGAACCUGAAAACCUUGGAUUUAGGACAACUGCAGUAUUUGGGGAGAAGGAGACAUCUUUGCAUCCCAAACCCUACUCUCAGCAUCAAGGUCUUCAGAACCCUCAGGCUGAAGGUCCCAACCUGGAGAUACCAAGCACAGGGAUAUAUGCUGACAUACAAAGAUACCCAGAACAUUUUUACAUCUCUCUUUUUUUUAAAAGUCGAUUAAAUAAGGCUUGCUUCAGGUGCUAACCUGGUAGAAGAUCCAGUCUGAGCCAUGUUUUGGGGGAUCCUUUCUCUGCUCCCCUAUGGUCUCAUGCAGGCAGUCCUGGGCCAAGGCAGUUCAGAGACCCAUAGGAAGGGUCUGUGGUGCCCACCACUGGCCCAGGUGGCCCUCCCCAAGGUGGGGUGCAAUGCUUCUUCCUGACAGAGGCUCAGCUGCAGAUCUGAGCCGAAGAGCUCAGGUUUUCAGGUAGAGCUGGCAGCUCUCCGGGACACAUGUCCCGAGUGCCUGAUCCCAGAUCUGUCAGGCACACAGCAUACAAUGACACCCCCACCCUGUGGAAAUGCCCAAAGGCCCAAACCCCAGUCACCACCCCGUCUCCAGUCAGCACCACUGGCCUCUUCCCGUCCACAGCAGCCUCCUGCCUUCCUCGGGGCACCAGCCGGAGCUGGGGAGCAACCCAGCCUGCGAGCUGCCCUCCCAACCAGAGGUAGCAGAGCCCUAGCCCAGGCUGUGCCAACCAGAUGCCCGAGGCCAAGCUGAGUCAUUUCAGCCCAGAUCUUGUCUGUUUUCUUUACCUACUUGCCAAGGCUUAAAAAAAAAAAUCUAGCAAUUUUAACUAAAAUCCAGUUUCCCACCUUCUAGUGAAAAAUAAAACCCAAAGCUAUCCAAUCCCAGGCCUGCAUUCUCAUGUGUCGUGACUUUAGAGCUGACUAGUGUUCCCUGCUUCGCCACAGUCUCCACUGCUCCCCACCGUGGCACAGGGACCCUUCACAGACUCUCUUAGUUGUAGUUGGACACAAUAUCUUUAUUUUAUCAUUUAUUUUUAUGUGGUGCUGAGGACUGAACCCAGGGCCUGGAGCAUGCUAGGCAAGCGCUCUACCGCUGAGCUCAGCCCCAGCCCGGACCUACUUGAUCUUUGUGAGAGUUGGACUUUGCCAUCCUCGAUCUUGGCCUUAAACGUUGGCUGCCUUUAAGAGAUCGGGAAAAGAAACAAUUGCCUUUCAUUCCUAUAAGUUUCUCAAAGCACAAGGCAAAAUUGACAUUCUAAUAGCUCAUCCUCUCGUUCACACCCAGAAGCCCUGACGGGACUGGGAACACUGAGCACCAGCAGCCACAAACCCUGCAGUCACACAUGGGGUCUGCACCUAACCCGUCCAUGUGUUGAAGAAACAAUUCCUCUGACACUUGCUAGAAUGGUUAAAAGGCAGACUUUGCUCAGGACGGUCGCAAUUGGUGUAGGGUCUACCCCACUGGGGUUUUGCAGUCGAGAAAAGACUGGUUCAAGUUCAUACUCAACUAGAGACAGUGAAAAUUUGUAUCUGAGGAAAAGGGCAAGGGGGUCUCAGGGGAUGGUACAUUAAGGUGGAAUCCAGAGGGAGGGGGACUCUAGCUGCCAGACCCAACAGGCUUCUCCAGGAAGGCAGACAUCUCCAGGGAGGUGGCAGGGAGUGAGGAGUUCAUGAGGACUUAAGUCAAAGCUGGUCCCCAUCCUGAGCACCCAGGCCACCAAGAGGCACAGCCCGCAAAUGGAGUCACCCAGGGAACACCCCAGGGAACUAAGCAGUAGGGACUCCACCCUCAACACAAGCAGACUCACUCUCACAUGCUCUGGAAUAUUCGCAGUACCCAGGAUGGGGUCGGGAGGGCGGCAGGUUGGAGGUCAACCCUUCAAAGCACAGGAGGGACUCAAGGUCAUUGCUUGGAGUGGAUGGGCUGUGGGCAGAGUGAGGACAGGGCUCCUUUUAAUGGAGGGAUUUGAAGAAGGAACCAGCUGUUGUCCUGACCAACUCCACUUUGUACCUCUAAUCUCUUCUUUCCUUUGAGCUAUUUCUCCUUCCCAGCUUCCUGCAGGCAAUCACCUCACGCUAGGAGUGGAGACGGCCCCCAACCCCUGGUGCCAGCAGGACCCCAGCAGGAUCCCACAGAGCCAGAGCUGCUGCAGACUCUGGGCUGGCCGCGCUGGCUGUGCAGGUGCACACCUCUGGGCUCCCUCUUGUCCCUCCCCUGGGUGACGCUGAGGCCGGUAUUGGUACAGGGAAGAGCUGGCUUUCUGGUCUGGCCAAACUGAAAUCAAUUCCUUUUCUGCUUCACCACCAUCUUCUCUUUCUGCUAUUUAGACUCUCAAG